rnacentral:lncRNA from 1 species
ACCAGACUCCUGUACUCGGGAAAGUGGGAAUGGAAAAAGAAAGCUAACCCCCACCAGUCAGGAGCAAACAGUGUCCUCGAUAUACUGGGGUUGCGUGUAUGGAGAACUCCUUCCAAAGGGCCUCCCGCUCUGCUCCGCAGCCUGGUACCUCGCACUAGCAGUCUGGCUGGGUUCGGGGCCCAACCCCCAUCUCCAUGCAUUCACUCAGCCCUGGAGGCAGCCAAACCUUUAUCCCAGAAGUCCAGCCAUUCCCCGCCUCCCACCCCCAGCUGAAGCGCUCCUCCCGGACGUACCACCCCCGGCCUCCUGCUCCCACUUUCCUCUCUCGGCACUCCUUCGCCUGAUGCACGCACACUCCACCCCCAGCCACCCAGCUCAGGUCUCCUCCUGCGCGGACGCCUCCUCAGCAGCAACCUUCUCUCUCGGCUUUCCAAGCCGUGGAGCCUUCGAGCUUCACCACUCCGAAGCCGCCCGUAUGGACUCACCGCGCUGGGCCGGAGGUCGAGGGCCCGGGAGAGAAGCCCGAGAACCCGGGCCGCGGCCGC